UCCACUUAUCUGGGAUUGCCAUCGCCAGGCGAUAAUCAAAACCAAUUCCUCCCUCAGAAACAUGCCGGCCAAGGCCCGGCAUACCAGAAACAUCUUCGGCAAUAACAGUUGCGUCUGGGAAAAUCUUGUGAAUCAGAUUAUUGGCCAACAUUAAAUAGACGACAGCAUCAACAUCUGUAGCCUCGCUGAAAUACUCAUUAUAGUUUCCUGUAAACCCCAUAUUGAUUCCAUGAUGAACAUACAACAUAGAAGUUAUUCCAUCAAAUCGAAAUCCGUCAAAGUUAUACUCUUCUAGCCACCACCUCAAGUUGGAAAGAAGGAAACGAAGAACCUCCCAAUUGGCAUAGUUGAACAGCCUGCUAUCCCACAACUUAUGGUACCCUCGCUCUCCGGCAUGAAAGUAGGAUUCUUGAGAACCUUGGCCAAUAUCAAAGCCAUUGAGGCCAUCAGUGACAUUAUUGCUUGCAUGACUGUGAACUACAUCCACCAGAACCUGUAAACCCAAGCUAUGUGCUUUAUCUAUCAGAUACUUUAGGUCCUCCGG
rnacentral:misc_RNA from 1 species